rnacentral:rRNA from 1 species
ACUCGCACACAUGUCAGACUCCUUGGUACGUGUUUCAAGAUGGGUCGAAUGGGGGGCCCGCAGGCCGACGCUCGAAGCACGCAGGUGCCGAAGCACGUCAUGACAAAGCGCGCUGCCUACCACAAUCGAGAGGACGAUGCUCCCAGAAAACCGAGGUUUAGCCACCCUCCCAAUCCGUGUCGGUCCGCACUCCGAGUUGAUCGGCGGACCGGCUAUUGGCCUUUCCAUAUCCGACCGGGGCGCAUCACCGGCCCAUAUUCGCUUCCCUCCCGAAAAUUUCAAGAACUCUUUGACUCUCUUUUCAAAGUCAUUUUCAUCUUUCCCUUGCUGUACUUGUUCGCUAUCGGUCUCUCGCCAGUAUUUAGCCUUGGAUGGAAUUUACCGCCCACUUAGGGCUGCAUUCCCAAACAACCCGACCAGGCGGCAGCGCCUUGUGGUGCAAAAGGAUCCUGGCACGACGGGGCUCUCACCCUCUCUAGCAGCCCCUUUCUUGGGGACUUGGGCUUGGUACGCCGCAGAGGACGCUUCUCUAGACUUCAAUUUGGACGACGAAGCCGCCCGAUUUAAAAGCUAGGUUGUUCUCUGUUCGCUCGUUGUUACUAGGGGAAUCCUUAUAAGCUUAUUUUCCUCUACUUAUUGAUAUUCUUAAAAUCAGUGGGUAGCCCCCGCCUAACCUGGGAUCGCAACGAUUUACCGCCCCUAAGGGCGGACAAACUAAGGGUCCUGCGAGUCCUCAAGAGCCACAAAGUGUGGGAUUGCGAUGCAUCCUAGGCUAGGCCGUAUCUACCACCUGUCGUCGCGGAACUUCUUAACCGGGGGCUCCGUAUUUAGGCCAUCCACACCCGGUAAGGCUUAGGAGGCCAUCAUCCUCUAGACCUCCCACUCAAGCUGGGUGGGGGGAGACGCGACGGGUGACGCCCAGGUAAGCAUGCCCUCAACCUAAAGUCUCCGAGCGCAACUGCGUUCAAAGACUCUAUGUGUUCAUGGGAUUCUGCAAUUCACACCAAUUAUCGCAUUUCUCUACGUUAUUCAUCGAUGCGAGAGCCGAGAUAUCUGUUGCCGAGAGUCGUUCAAUGUUAUAAACGACUUGGUGCUACCUAUACAAAUUGUCGAAUUAACUAGCCUAGAAAAUGGAUGGCGCUGAAACGCGUGACCUAUACCCGGCCGUUAGCGCAAGUGCUAGACCCCAAUGAGUAGGAGGGCACAGCGGUCGCUGAAAAACCUGUUGCGUGAGCCAGCGCAGAGCGACCGUUGGUGCAGAUCUUGGUAAUAGUUGCAAAUAUUCAAAUAAGAACUUUGAAGGUCGUAGAGGGAAAAGGUUCCAUGUGAACGGCACUUGCACAUGGGUUAAUCGAUCCAAAGAGACAGGGGAAGCCUAUCCGAAAGCGCGUUUCACUCGACUACUCGAGCUUCGAAAGGGAAUUGGGUUAAAAUUCCUAAAUCGGGACCUGGUGGUUGACGACAACGUUAGGAAGACCGGAGACGUCGGCGGGGGCCUCGAGAAGAGUUAUCUUUUCUGUUUAACAGCCUGCCCACCCUGGAAUCGGCUCAUCCAGAGGUAGGGUCCAGCGGCUGGAAUAGCACCGCACGUUUUGUGGUGUAUAGCGUGCCCCCGGUGGCCCUUGAAAAUCUGGAGGACCGAGUGCCGACCACGCCCUGUCAUACUCAUAGCCGCAUCAGGUCUCUAAGGUGAACAUCCUCUGGUCGAUGAAACAAUGUAGGUAAGGGAAGUCAGUAAAAUUAAUCCAUUACUUCGGGAAAAGGAUUGGCUCUGAGGGUUGGGCACGGGGGUCCCAGUCCUGAACCCGUCGGCUAUCGACAGACUGCUCGAGCUGCUUCUGUAACAAGAGCGGGUCGCCACUUACCGGCCGAGGGAAUUCUACUAUUAAAUUAACACGAAGUAUUGCGAUGGUUCCUGCGGAUGUUAACGCAAUGUGAGUUCUGCCCAGUGCUCUGAAUGUCAAAGUGAAGAAAUUCAACCAAGCGCGUGUAAAUUUUGGUAUUAACUAUGACUUUUUUAAGGUAGCCAAAUGCCUCGUCAUCUAAUUAGUGACGUUCAUGAAUGGAUUAACGAGAUUCCCACUGUCCGUGUCUACUAUCCAGCGAAACCACAGCCAAGGGAACGGGCUUGGCAGAAUCAGCGGGGAAAGAAGACCCUAUUGAGUUUUACUCUAGUCCGACUUUGUGAAAAGACUUGAGAGGUGUAGGAUAAGUGGGAGCUUCGGCGCAAGUGAAAUACCACUACUUUUAACGUUAUUUUCCUUACUCCUUGAGUCGGAAGCGGGGAAAUGCCCCUCUUUUUAGACCUAAGGUCCGCUUUGCGGCCAAUCCGGGCGGAGGACAUUGUCAGUUGGGGAUUUUGGCUGGGGCGGCACAUCUAUUAAAAGAUAACGCAGGUUCCUAAGAUGAGAUCAACAAGAAAAGAAAUCUCGUGUGGAACAAAAGGGUAAAAGCUCGUUUGAUUCUGAUUUUCAGUACGAAUACGAACCGUGAAAGUGUGGCCUAGCGAUCCUUUAGACCUUUUAAAAUUAAAGAUAGAGGUGUCAAAAAAGUUACCACAGGGAUAACUGGCUUGUGGCAGCCAAGCGUUCAUAGCGAUGUUGCUUUUUAAUCCUUUGAUGUCGGCUCUUCCUAACAUUGUGAAGCAAAAUUUACCAAGUGUUGGAUUGUUCACCCACCAAUAAGUAACGUGAGCUGGGUUUAGACCGUUGUGAGAUAGGUUAGUUUUACCCUACUGAUGAUAGUGUCGCAAUGGUAAUUUAACCUAGUACAAGAGGAAACGUUGAUUCACACAAUUGGUCAUCGCGCUUGGUUGAAAAGACAGUGGCGCGAAGCUACCGUGUACUGGAUUAUGACUAUACGCCUCAAUCUAAGUCAGAAUUCGGGCCAGAAACGAUGCAUGCGCACGCCUCUCGAUUGUCGUCCUAAAGUAGGGGCUUCGGCCCCCAAGGGCACGUGUCGUAGUGUUAGAAUCCAACUCCUUUUGAUGUAUUAGUUUUCCUUUAGGUGCUCUAUUAGAGUUUAGUUUAUGUUUUCUUAGCUUGAGGUCCCAUUAUU